CCUCUGCCCUCCAUAAAGUUAGGUUGUCCCUCAGUAACUGCAUUAUUAGUGUGCUGUCUUUGUAAGAUUCUUCAUGCAAUGUAUCAAGAUCUGCAAUUGCAUCAUCAAAAGCCUGUUUCAAGGAUACAAAAAAAUGCAUU